rnacentral:rRNA from 1 species
AUUGAACGCCGGCGGCAGGCCUAACACAUGCAAGUCGAGCGGGGUUUUCGGACCUAGCGGCGGACGGGUGAGUAAUGCGUAGGAAGCUACCCGAUAGAGGGGGAUACCAGUUGGAAACGACUGUUAACACCGCAUAAUGUCUACGGACCAAAGUGUGGGACCUUCGGGCCACAUGCUAUCGGAGGCGCCUACGUGGGAUUAGCUAGUUGGUGAGGUAAUGGCUCACCAAGGCGACGAUCCCUAGCUGGUUUGAGAGGAUGAUCAGCCACACUGGAACUGAGACGCGGUCCAGACUCCUACGGGAGGCAGCAGUGGGGAAUAUUGGACAAUGGGCGCAAGCCUGAUCCAGCCAUGCCGCGUGUGUGAAGAAGGCCUUCGGGUUGUAAAGCACUUUCAGUAGGGAGGAAGCGUUGUGUGUUAAUAGUACACAGCGUUGACGUUACCUACAGAAGAAGCACCGGCUAACUCUGUGCCAGCAGCCGCGGUAAGAC